AACGAACGCUGGCGGCAUGCCUAACACAUGCAAGUCGAACGAGACCUUCCGGUCUAGUGGCGCACGGGUGCGUAACGCGUGGGAACCUGCCCUUAGGUUCGGAAUAACUCCCCGAAAGGGGUGCUAAUACCGGAUAAUGUCUUCGGACCAAAGGUUUAUCGCCUUUGGAUGGGCCCGCGUUGGAUUAGCUAGUUGGUAGGGUAAAAGCCUACCAAGGCGACUAUCCAUAGCUGGGCUGAGAGGAUGAUCAGCCACACUGGGACUGAGACACGGCCCAGACUCAUGCGGGAGGGAGCAGUGGGGAAUAUUGGACGGUAGGCGAAAGCAUGAUCCAGCAGUGCCGGGUGAGUGAUGAAGGCCUGAGGGUUGUAAAGCUCUGUUACCCGGGAUGAUAAUGACGGUACCGGGAGAAGAAGCUCCGGCUAACUCCGUG
rnacentral:rRNA from 1 species